rnacentral:rRNA from 1 species
UACGUAGGGAGCAAGCGUUGUCCGGAAUCAUUGGCGUAAAGCGCGCGUAGGUGGCCACAUAAGUCCGUUGUGAAAGUCAAAGGCUCAACCUUUGAAAGCCGAUGGAUACUGUGUGGCUAGAGUACGGAAGAGGCGAGUGGAAUUCCUGGUGUAGCGGUGGAAUGCGCAGAUAUCAGGAGGAACACCAAUAGCGAAGGCAGCUCGCUGGGACGUUACUGACACUGAGGCGCGAAAGCGUGGGGAGCGAACAGG